rnacentral:rRNA from 1 species
GGGAAACAGGUUAAUAUUCCUGUACUCGGUGUUACUGCGAAGGGGGGACGGAGAAGGCUAUGUUGGCCGGGCGACGGUUGUCCCGGUUUAAGCAUGUAGGCGGAUGUUCCAGGUAAAUCCGGAACGUUACUAACGCUGAGGUGUGAUGACGAGGCACUACGGUGCUGAAGUGACAAAUGCCCUGCUUCCAGGAAAAGCCUCUAAGCAUCAGGUAACAUCAAAUCGUACCCCAAACCGACACAGGUGGUCAGGUAGAGA